AUUGAACGCUGGCGGCAGGCCUAACACAUGCAAGUCGAGCGAGCGGCGGACGGGUGAGUAAUGUAUGGGGAACUGCCCGAUGGAGGGGGAUAACUACUGGAAACGGUAGCUAAUACCGCAUACCAUCGGAUGUGCCCAUAUGGGAUUAGCUAGUGGGUGGGGUAACGGCUCACCAAGGCGACGAUCCCUAGCUGGUCUGAGAGGAUGACCAGCCACACUGGAACUGAGACACGGCCCAGACUCCUACGGGAGGCAGCAGUGGGGAAUAUUGCACAAUGGGCGCAAGCCUGAUGCAGCCAUGCCGCGUGUGUGAAGAAGGCCCUCGGGUUGUAAAGUACUUUCAGUGGGGAGGCGUUACCGGCAGAAGAAGCACCGGCUAACUCCGUGCCAGCAGCCGCGGUAAUUC
rnacentral:rRNA from 1 species